rnacentral:piRNA from 1 species
UCUGAGGAGUAAGCUUGUAUUUCACUAGGC